rnacentral:rRNA from 1 species
GAUGAACGCUGGCGGCGUGCCUAAUACAUGCAAGUCGAGCGAAGCGGGGACGGGGGUGUAACACGUGUAUAACCUCCUCUAAGACUGGGAUAACUUCGGGAAACCGGAGCUAAACCGGCUAAUUAUCCAUGGUUGCGCGCUGCAUUAGCUGGUUGGUAGGGUAACGGCUUACCAAGGCCACGAUGCAUAGCGGACCUGAGCGGAUGAGCAGCCACACGGGAACUGAGAACCGGUCCAGACUCCUACGGGAGGCAGCAGUAGGGAAUAUUCCGCAAUGGGCGAAAGCCUGACACAGCAACGCCGCGUGAGUGAUGAAGGUCUUCGGGUCGUAAAACACUGUUAGUAGGGAAGCGGUACCUAAUCAGAAAGCCCCGGCUAACUACGUGCCAGCAGCCGCGGUAAUAC